UGGGGUAUAGCUCAGUGGCAGAGUGCUUGCCUAGCAUGUGCAAGGCCCCAAGUUCAAUCUCUGGUACCACAG
rfam:Ictidomys tridecemlineatus contig064743, whole genome shotgun sequence.